GCCAAUUCCCCUCGCUCACUUCUCCUUCCUCGCUCUUGCGGCAUCCCAUCGAUCCACGGCCAGAUCCACCGCCCACCCCGACCCACUACGAUCCAUCCCCCCUCGUCUCCGCCACCCAGUUGCGCCGCGGCCGCCGUCUGCGGCCCCUCCUCGUCCCUCCGCGUAGCCUCCGUUUGCGGCCCCUCAUCCCCUCCUCUCUCGCCCGCUCGACUCACUUGCCGUCGCUCCCUCCCACGCUCGAUCCCGGCGAGGACGUAGCAGUCUAUCCCGACGAGGACGGCGGCGGCGAGGUCGGCACCGUCGUUGAGCGGCACGCGGCGCUGGCGGCGGGGUCUAGCCAGCGACGCCGAGUUCUGCUGCGGCGCGACGCCGACGCGGUCCGUCAUGACCGCCUGCAGUUUCCGCACACCCAACGACGGCUGCACGGUCACCGUGCCCAGGUCCACGCUCUGUUCCCACUGCUUUUUUUCUCACUCUUGGCCGCUGCCGCCACGUAGAAUUUGAUGCUUCCAUGGUCAUUCCCUUGAUUUGAUCAGGAGUGCCCUGCCCGAACGGCGGCCGGUGGUGCGGAGGCCGCUUGGAGCCGGAGCCAGCACCGGCGCCAUGCCUUCCCAGAGCUCGAGUGGAUGCACUUAUUGCUGCUUGAUCUGUAAGUGUGCUACAAUGAAACUGCUGGUGCUCGGGUGCCAUGAUGAAUGAUCCUUGGGUGUGUGUUAUCUAGUAGGAAUACAAUGUGAAGUCACGGAUUAGCAGUAGAAAUUGCUUUAUUUUCAUAUUUCCAUCAGUGUUGUUCUUGUGGACAGAACAUUCAGAACUAGACCCUUCCCAUGGAUAUGCAUAAGUUUUAGUGUAUACUAAACGCUACUACUCUUGCGAUAGAUAUUCAUUUCAGGCUGAUGCACAUCGUUGAGUCAAUGUUUCAUACUGAAAGUUCACAGUGGGUUCCUUCUUAUGACUGUGUCAUUAAGGCCUUACAUAGUGAAAGUUCACAUGACUAACUCAUAUGCAUGAUACUUUUUUUACAGAAAGGCAAUGGUCUGUAGUGAACUGAAGAUAGGAAAAAUGAUAUGUAAAUGCACUUUGAUCUGCUCAGUAGGAGCAAGAUGGAGUCGCUGGAGCAGAGCAGUGGAGUCUGCAUUUUGUUCUUCUGUCAGACAGACAUCCACAUGUUGUACCGAUUCUUAGUUCAGAGAUAGGAAUGUAUAAAUGGUUGCCGAUCUCUCCAUGCAUGGAACAGUAGCUUUUUAUGUAGGAUCCUUUCCGUAUAGAUGAGUCACAACAUUGAUUUCUUGAUCCAUUUGGAAACUAAAAGAAAGUACAGAGAGGACGAACUUGUUGGUAGAACUUCAUCAUAUUCCGCAGACGGAGUCCACGGGUGUAGCAUUUUGUCUAGUACACCCAACACCACCUGAGGAUCCAAUUCACUGUUAGAAAGUUAGAAAUUGAUAUUACAGGUUCCUUAUAGUGCAAACCAAAGCUGCUACUCCAACAACCAUCAAAUGAAACCAUGUUUUCUAAAAUUAAAGGGUCUGAUUGAUAUUGGUCCUUCUUUUGACAGAUAUAAUAUGUAUACUGACUUGUUAUUUUCUUUUCUAGCAAGCACUACGGCGUCAACUUUGUGGUGGCCGACGCGACGGCCAUCGAGCAUGACUUCUUCGCCAAGAACAACCUCAGCGUGGACAUCACGCCGUAGUACAUCAUGAUGGAGCUUGGCUAGAUGUACACAUAUUUUUUUUACAACCUUUGUGUGCAUAUUUUUUUACAAUGCACCAAAGUUUCUUGUUUCUGUUGUGAAAGUAAUGUAAAUGGUGUUACAUAGUUCUCAAUAAAAAUGCAAAUAACUUGUGAAUUUGUCUUCAUGUUGUAUAAGUCUCGACAAAGUUAAUUUGCAUAAUCCUCGACCUCCUCCUGCAAUCUCUCUUUCUCCCUUUCUUCUCUGAAUUUCCCGGUGUUGUAUAAGUCUGUAAGAUUCGGAUUUUAAGAGUACUUGCUCCCUGUACUAGUUACUUCUACUAUUUAUUUUUAGCUGUUUAGUACUACUCUGUAGAUCUGUGAUACUAGUCUAGUCGCUUGUAUAAUUUUGUUUAAUAGUGUAACCUGAAACAUUGAGUAGCACCCUGUUCGCAUAUGUGUGAUUAUGUGUGUUCUGUAGUCUCUAGCUCCAGUACAUGUGAACUAUAUGUUCUGGUGUAAAUCAUUUUCAUUCUAUCUUAUAAACGUGUUUCUUCAAUAGCUAUUUUUGUUCAAGUCUUGUUGUCAUUUAUGUUAGCAUUUAGUUUGUCUCAAGUAAAAAAAAUACUAAAAAUACAGUGAAGAUAAUCUGAACCUCCCUAUGUAAAAUUUAGUUUGUCUGUAAUACUACUAGGAGAUGGGUGAGGGACUGAAAGGAUGAUAUGCUUCCAUGAAUUUAUUUGUAAGAAGUUUUUCUUGGCUAUGUACAAAUCAGCACAAAUAUGUGAGCCUCGGUUCUGAAAACUAAAGAAUUCAUAUAUUGGUAGAUAGACUAUGAUUUAGGAUAUGCUAAACAGAAAGCUUUAUAAGAUGGAACUAUCAAUUCAUCAUGACUUCACUUUGUCCUUUAAUUUAAUUUAAUUUAAUAUGGUUAGAACUACCAUUUAGAACUACCAUGGAUGUUUGGCCUUGCAUUCAUCCUUCCAUGAAUUCAUGCUUGUACAUUGCUAGUUAUUGAUUUUUUUGCAAGUCUUCUUCUUCCUCGAUCUUGUGCAGCAGCAACAAUUCAAGGUCAUGGUCAUGGAGCAGCAACCAUAUAUUUUUCUUCUUAUUCCUCCCUGAGAUGACAUGAGAUGAGGUUUGUUUUCCUCAACGUCAAGGUGCAGCAGCUCGAUUUGAUGUGAUGUGAUUGGAUUCAGUUUCCUCAUGCCUCUCUGUUUGCAUUGCAGGCUCUGUUGGUCGGUCUUCAAUUCUUCAUGCUGCUGCUGCUACUGCUACAUGAGGACCCUCUUCAAUUCUUCAUCCGUUGCGGCCGCCGCAGCUUCCACCUCUACUCGGCCGCAUUCGCAAGU
rnacentral:lncRNA from 1 species